AUUGAACGCUGGCGGCAGGCUCAACACAUGCAAGUCGAGCGGAGAUGAGGUGCUUGCACCUUAUCUUAGCGGCGGACGGGUGAGUAAUGCUUAGGAAUCUGCCUAUUAGUGGGGGACAACAUUCCGAAAGGAAUGCUAAUACCGCAUACGUCCUACGGGAGAAAGCAGGGGAUCUUCGGACCUUGCGCUAAUAGAUGAGCCUAAGUCGGAUUAGCUAGUUGGUGGGGUAAAGGCCUAACAAGGCGACGAUCUGUAGCGGGUCUGAGAGGAUGAUCCGCCACACUGGGACUGGGACACGGCCCAGACUCCUACGGGAGGCAGCAGUGGGGAAUAUUGGACAAUGGGGGGAACCCUGAUCCAGCCAUGCCGCGUGUGUGAAGAAGGCCUUAUGGUUGUAAAGCACUUUAAGCGAGGAGGAGGCUACUGAGACUAAUACUCUUGGAUAGUGGACGUUACUCGCAGAACAAGCACCGGCUAACUCUGUGCCAGCCGCCGCGGUAACAC
rnacentral:rRNA from 1 species